GGCAGAAACGGGACCAAUCACAACUUCUGCGCUGCUGAAUGACAUCGGGAGCCCUGCCUCUGAAACUUGUGUUAUUCCUUCCCCUCGGCCGACUUCAAUUGUUCCCACCACUUGGUCGCAGACUCGGACAAGUUGCCAGAUCUGCAGGCGGCUCCCGCAGCCCGGAGCAGGCUGCUGCCCAGCUCCCAGCACUCAGCAGCGGAGGCUAUCCAUUUUGACCUUGCUAGCCACCCAGCUGCAGCUGUGUUACUGACCCUGCUUCCGUUUAUGCACACUUUAGGUGGGUGACAGCGUCAUGGAGCACUAACAAGCCAGGUAUUUGGAAAAACAAGAAGGCCUUUGCGAACACUCAGAUUCCUUUUUGGAAGGGAAAAAUCUGGUUUUUGUAAACAAACAAUUUUUUCUUAAGUGGCGGAAACUAAGAACAGGUAAACAGCUGAGGACACAAUGAAGUUCAUGUGAAUCUGCAUUGCUUCUAACUCAGCAAGCAGCCCAAAGCUACAACCAAGGGUCUGUUCCAAGCACAAGAGGGUGGACAGAUGCACAUUAUGGAUCUUGCUCACAACAGAGGUCUCAACUUACUUCUCAAUUUCCUGCUCAUUGUCUUGGUUCUGGUGCUCGCAUUCAUCCUUGUGAAGCUGAUGUGAACCCCUGUGAGAGUCUUUUUUUUUUCCCCCCAAAUCUCGUUCUGAGGGUUUGGUUGUUGUUUUUUUGCAAUGAUAACAUAAAGACAUCAAACUAUCUGAUCAUAAAUAUGCCAAGACUGAAAUAACUGACAGAGAAAGUGUUCAUGUACCUAUUUCAUCAGAAAGUGAACCUAAAAGUAUACAAAAUUAUGUCUUGCCAUUGACUAAAGAAAGCAUCUAGAGCCCUGCUGAGCACAGGAUGAAAUCCAAGUGUGCGUAAGCAGCUCCUUCAGUUUCCUCACUCCUACAGCUGACCUGCAUUUAAAGAUCUGCAAACGAUCAGCAGCCUUCAAGGAACAGAAUUUCCGCAAAGGGGAAAGAGAAAACCAAAUUUUAAAAAUGGGGUUUCCACAGAACGGAUACUUCACCAGAAAUAUGACAGGAAGGCAGAACGGAACACCUACAUGGGGUUGACAGCACGCAUCAAAUUACCUGUGGAGAGCGAAAGCACGGAUGCUGUAGAUGGAAGAAGAAUGGCAAUGAACUGCAGCCUGCAGCAGCUGGGAUUUAGAAAGGUGAAGUUCAAAUAUGAAAGCAUAAUUAUCAGUGACCUCUUUUUCGACACCCCUGGUUCACAGCAACACCUUACAAGCCAGAAGCCAUUUGUGUUACACAGCAGUAUCGAAAGAAGCUGCGGCUAAGACAACAGAAAAGAAGGGACGUUAGCACAGGUUGUCACACCCGCGCUCGUGAAGCCUUUAACACUGCUGUGCAGGUGAGCAGUCGGUGCAUCCGCACAACGGCGAGCGUGCUGCGUCCCCAACAAGUCGGAUUUACCUCUCGUGUGCAGGGCGAGGGUGCCGCGCGGGAGCCCUCGGGCUGCAUUUGACACACCUCUUGUUACCUGCCAGAGCAACCGCCCGCCCACUGCUCGUCCUCACCCCAAGCUGCAACGUCAGCUUCUCACGGGACCUUCGCGGGAUGGUCUGCUUUCCCCACGGGCCCUGGGAAGGACAGUGACCAACGAGAGCUCGCUUCUACUGGACUUGUUUGCCCAGAAGGUAGCUCUACACACCUAAGACAUGUAGGGAAAGAAGGUGGCCAGAAGUAGAUUACAGACACUACACUGGGGCCAAGCUGCCUACUCUUCAGCAUCUCUUUCCCAAGUACGAAUUGGGAACCAAGUAUACCACCACAUGUGUAUUGUACGGUACUUUUAAUGCCAUACACAUGAGUGUUAGCAGUCAAAAGACACAGCUAUUGCCCAUGGGAUGGGGGAACAGCCAGUUUCCAGCUGUCUGCUGCCAGCAGAGCACCCCUGGUUCGGCAGGUACGCUGCUGACCCAGCACCUCCCGCAACCACUCACUGUGUUACAGAGCUGAUCUACUCGUGGCCACGCUCGGGAUUUCCAGACAAUUGCUGCUGUAGCUGAACCAACAGCAAUCUGCAGCAGACCCGUCUGAGCUGGAUAUGUAAAAGACUUUCCAAAGGAAAAGACAACAUGCUGAGGGAAACGCAAAGCUCACGCUGGUCCCACCACGAACAGGCUUCCACACCGCACUAUGUCCUCCAGCGCACAGGCACCGUUAGGUGGGGCAGCAUGGAUAGGCAACAUGAAGUUUUUUCUCUCGUGUGCUUUGAAGUAUGUGCAAUAAACAUUUAAAAUAGCUUCUGCAAACUAUGAAUCUACAGCUUUUUUUACGUUGAUACAAUAAUAUCAAUUCCUAUUUGUAUUUAGAGCAGAAAACUUUGCACAGCUCUAUCAUUGUAACCACUUUAUCAUUUAUUUUGGUUAUCUUGAAAUACUCUGCUUUAAAAAUCUGUAGAUUUAUAUACAAGGGAUAUAUGUUUUAACAGUUCUGUUGUUGUGUAUUGUUUAGAAGGAUUUCUACUGGUGCUUGACACCAAUAAGAGAUGGCACAAAACAUAACCAAAUCCACAGAAAUGAUAUGAAGCCCACUCUCAUCUAAAGAGGAGUAGAAAUGGUUUUCCCAGCAAAAUGGCUCUUCACUGAUACAGUCCUUGGGAUCACACACAGCUUAUUUUAUGGACAUUCUUCUGUACAUACAAAAGUUUCCUUACCUUAGGGAAACCUGACAGUUGAACAGCUCAAAUAAGUUAAAUGAGUCAGCAUUGAAAAAAAAAAAUCAUAGAUUCCUUUUUAAUAAAAGGACAGAGAUGAGUCUACCAACUCCACCUACCACUUAUUUCCAAAUCAAAAAUCACACACAAAGUCCGUAAGAAACUCUGCUAUCAGCACAUAGCUACUCCAAACUUCUCCCAGCCAACAAUGAAAAUUACAGAAUCUUAAACAAAUGUCAAAACGUGCAUUUUCCUGAGAUGACGCACAAACUGGCAGAGUUACCAGCUAACCAAUGCCAAGCCUCUUUUUGCAAUCAGGCAUGGUCCAAGCUUGGUUUACCAUCAUCUGCUAGCACUCAGCCUGAGCCCACACGUUCACUACAAGUGGAACCCCAGUUGUCAGACUACGGCCAACUUCACUGUAAAAGAAACAGAACACAAAAGCUCACAGUAAUGAAUUAAUUCUGUUAACCACAGGUUAUAAUUGUUCGUGUUAUAAAGCUUUAUCUUGCUGAAAAGUACGGUUUCAUCAAAAUGUGACAUGGGAAAAAUGAUAUUAUCUUUUUUCCAGUCUUCUGACCUGUCAGGAUCAUAUGAAAAACUACUUUCGGGUUCACAUUUAAGAAUAAUUUUUUCUGUGGCAACAAUGUUAUUUGAAGCAUGCUGUAACUUUUUCCUUCAAUUAAAGUUUUACAUGAUGUUUGCCAAUA